rnacentral:rRNA from 1 species
UGGGGAAUAUUGGGCAAUGGAGGGAACUCUGACCCAGCGACGCCGCGUGCGGGAUGAAGGCCUUCGGGUUGUAAACCGCUUUCAGCAAGGAAGAAGCGAAAGUGACGGUACUUGCAGAAGAAGCACCGGCUAACUAUGUGCCAGCAGCCGCGGUAAUACAUAGGGUGCAAGCGUUGUCCGGAAUUAUUGGGCGUAAAGAGCUCGUAGGUGGUUCGUCACGUCGGAUGUGAAAAUCUGGGGCUUAACCCCAGACCUGCAUUCGAUACGGGCGAGCUAGAGUGUGGUAGGGGAGACUGGAAUUCCUGGUGUAGCGGUGGAAUGCGCAGAUAUCAGGAGGAACACCAAUGGCGAAGGCAGGUCUCUGGGCCAUUACUGACACUGAGGAGCGAAAGCGUGGGGAGCGAACAGGAUUAGAUACCCUGGUAGUCCACGCCGUAAACGGUGGGCACUAGUUGUGGGAACCUUCCACGGUUUCUGCGACGCAGCUAACGCAUUAAGUGCCCCGCCUGGGGAGUACGAUCGCAAGAUUAAAACUCAAAGGAAUUGACGG